UACGGGGGGGGCAAGCGUUGUUCGGAAUUACUGGGCGUAAAGGCUCGUAGGCGGCCAACUAAGUCAUACGUGAAAUCCCCCGGCUUAACCGGGGAACUGCGUCUGAUACUGGAUGGCUUGAGUUCGGGAGAGGGAUGCGGAAUUCCAGGUGUAGCGGUGAAAUGCGCAGAUAUCAGGAGGAACACCGAUGGCGAAGGCAGUGUUCUGGGCCAGUACUGACGCUGAGGAGCGAAAGCGUGGGGGAGCAAACAGG
rnacentral:rRNA from 1 species